GUAAAUUUUUAUUCAUUAAAUAACGAAAUUUACAUAAAAUUAAAUGAAUGAUAGCUUCCAUUUGCAGUUGAAUGUCGUAUACGACAAUCCCGAUCUAAAUUUCUUUUCUCUUCUGAAUACCCAUCACGUGUAGGAUGCGAGCAGUUUUAAUCAUCUUAGAUACAUCUAAAAUAUGUAAAUAUAUUUAUGUCUCUGAUGUAUUCACAGUCGCUACCAAACUUACACAUUCGUAUCGUUCUACAGUUGCAUUUUCGAAUUACGUGUACAUAUACGUGCCAGAAUAUAACGUGUUCAUCGGGUGACCAAACGCGUUUGUUCAUGUAACUCGUUAUAUUUAAAUGAACUGUUGAUUCGAUAUUGUAGCGACAUGUGUGCCCACUUUUUCUUUCAAAUAGACGUGAGAUGGAAAACCUCUCGUGGCCUAUCGAAUACGAGAGUUGAAUAUCAAAUUUAGGAGAAUCCUCACGAGAUCGGAAUGUUUCUUUAUUAUAUCGUUUAUUUUCCUCUUCCUCUAAUCUCUCUCUCUCUCUUCGAAUUUUCGCAUCAACAAUGUUGUAAAUAACGCGUGUAAUUAUCUCUGUCGUGAAGUUUACUCUCUGUUGAGACCAAGAUAUAAAAUAUUCGAGACUUUGCGAUCGUAUUCCAAACGAUAUUCCUCGUAUGUGCUGCACGCGCAAGCACACACCCGCGUCCAUGCAUACGGAAUAAAACGAGUGGCGCGUUUAUGCAAAUUAAUGGCCGCUGAAUUUUAUGUUGCCACGAUUAUUGUUGGUAUAUCAUUCCCGGGGUUACGUUUACGACUACGUGGGGAACAACCGCAGCAACAACAGUGAAUGUAAUUUUUUCGUAAAAAUAAUUAUUAUCUAUGGGCUGCUCAUUAGUAGUAGCCGCAUCUUUCAUCAACGGUUAGAGCAAAAAAAGAAAAAAAAAAUGUUGAAGGUAGAAUCUUCUUUAAUUUUUAUAACAUAUGCAUUUUUAGAUACAAACGAUAUUUUUUUUGGAGGUUGGAAAAAUAAAAUAUAAUAAUAUUUUUUUCACUAGAUUCAACUAAUAUAAUUCGUUAAAUUUUUUUCUAAUUUGAAAUUGUAAAUAUGUUCAUAUAUUAAUCGAUUAUAUUGAUUAAUAAUAAUAAGACGUAUAUUCGUUGAUGCUGAUUCAUCUAGUUUAUUAAAAUCUAUAAAUUUAAAACUUAAGUCUCGAUUUUUCGUUUUAUUCAAUUUCAUUAUAGUUUAUUAAAUGUUCGUUUAUACAUCACGAUGCACACGUUCCGACGAAAUUAGUUGUUGGAUCGACGUACAAGAGAUUGCCGUAUAUCGUCAAACCAAUCAACAUUUGACGGUUCUAAUUACUACCUUUGAACGUUGGCAACGUUAAUUUAUUGCCACCAUAUACGAGCAACUGAGUGUUAAAAUCACAAUAGAAAUUUGUCCACCAGCCCGAAUUACGCGCCUGCGCACGCGUUAUCUUUUUUUAUUCACGAGGAUCGCAUGGAUUCUGUUUGAGGUUAAGUUUAAAAUUUCACACUUCAUUGUCGUUUAUCAUUAUCACGAUAAAGCGUUUUAACAUUUUUUUUCCUUGUUGAAUCAAAGAUCGUUGGCGAAAUUAACAAGCUGAUAAGGCAGAAAUAAGAACAAUCGGUAUAUCAGAUUGAACAAGAUAGAUGGAUUUUUGAAUACUGUGUGUAUCUCGCGAAGUUUAUUGAUUGUCCCGCUUACAUUUCAUGAAUUAUUUAUGAUGAUCGUACUUGAUCACGGCGAUCGAAUUUGAUAUUUCAAUAAAUUUUCAUAAAAACGAGCCAGCUGUCAUGAGAAACGAAAGAGGCAUGAGAGAAUAGCGAGUUAGAGAAGAUUGCUUAAGAGUGGGAGCAGCUAGUAGUAGGAGUGGUGGGGGAACAGUGCGAUUCUCGUUUAAAGUGCGUGAUCGAAAUGCAGAGGCGUUCAAUUUAUUACGAAUUCGAAGGAUAAUGCUAUACUUUUCAAUGACUGCGUGUGUUCGGAAAAAUCAAACUUUCAUUCUACUCUCUGCAAUCGAACAAACGAUUCUGCGCAGAGACUUCGAAAAAUUCUGGGAAGGGAAUUCGAAAAUCAAACUUCUUCAACUCAAAGAAUCAGGAAUUGAUGUUUGCUUAAACUUUUGCGGUUGAAAAGAAAGAAAUUCAACGAAUUUGAAAUACUCCCCUGUUCUUGAUUUCCGAAUAUUGUCACGAAAAUACGUGAUAUUAUAUCAAUUGAUGAUUCAUUAGAGAUCAAUUCCAUAGUUGAGGAACUAAAUAAUGAUUCAAUGUUCAUCGUUUAAUCUGGUGUCGGAAUCUGAAUUGAGCUAUGGCAUUAACAUAAAUCGCCAAUCAUUACGUACCACGUAAUUACUAUCGAUAUAAUCUUUCACAGUAAGACGAUCGGUCGUUUAAAAUCAUUUGUAAAAUGAUUCAUUCAACAGAAUGAAGAAAAUUCUUGUAAUUCGUUAAUAUCACUUAUUAAGUGCAGAAAAAAGGAAAAAAUAAAUAUAUCCGUUCCACUUAAAUACAAAAGCGAAUUUAAAUUUUCAUAGAUCAAAAAUAUUUAAAGAUUUAAUUUUACAAAUUCGAAAAAUUGACUUGAUUAUUUGAAGAUACAUAUAUAAAACAUACGUAUAGCCAUUAUGCGACAAUAAUAAUAUCUUACGAUAAAAUAUCAAUAAGAUAAUCAUCUUAUUCUUCAUCUAUACGAGCAACUUUACAACGCCAAGUUUCCUCUUAAAUUUAAGGAUCGAUUCAGAAGGACAAAGAUAAAUACCAACACGGUAAAUACGAUUAAACAUCAAGCGCAUUCGAAAUUCAUCCGUCUUACGUCUUCGUACAACAAAAGGGACAGGAUCACGCCAGAAGGAAUACAUUAUGGCCGAUUGUGCCGCUCAUUGACAUCGAAUCAAACGUCAGCCCCAUUGCACGCGUGUGCGCGCGUGUUUACGUAUCCAGCGCCAUCUCCCUUUCCAUCUGUACGUAUAGAAGGGAAUGAGUCAAGCCACAAUCUCUCGGCUAAACGAGCGUCCGUUCCGCGGUACCCACGCACAAUUAUCGGCGCAUCAAUUAAGGCCGAAAAAUAUUAACGUUCCCAACGACGGACAGGAAAACGAAGUGCAAACAACGAUAAUUAUUCUCCACGUAGCCGCAUUCACGGGCAGACGUCCAGGCGUCGUGACGCAUGAUGGCAUUGUUCUACCUACUCCUCUCUCCGUUGAUGGUUCAACAAUACGUCUAGGAUGACUAAGAGGGAACAGUGCGGUUCGUGCACAGUAGAUUCUCUCUUUCCAUGGGAUAAUCUGAAAAAAAGGAAAGAAAAGAAAAUAAAACGCACGGUGAAUCGGUGAAGGAUGACGCAUGCGGUAACAAAGAAGGUUCAUCUACCGAGAAAACAUGCUCGUCCAAGGCAGGAAAGGAUCACUAAUUCGUGGCGGAUAAUUCGAGCUUUCUGGUCUUCUUCGUUGGUAUGACGAUAUAAGAGAAUGACGUUUCAAUUUUCGAUUGAUGUGUCUUUUAGUCAACCUCUGUCUGCUUUGAGGUUAUGUCGGUUUUGUUUUCAGAAGAAACUUCAAACACAUAAACAUAGUCUUCUAAAUGGCGCUUCUUUUCAGACGGAGGAAGGAAAAUCUUCGAUACCUGUCUUGCCUUCUCAUCAGAAUUUUUGUGCAACGUUUUAAGUCAAGACUUAUGUUUCGAAAAUUAUAUUUUGCAAACAUUGUCUUUCUAUAGAAUUUUUGUAAAUAUGUAAGAAUAUCAUGAAUAUAUUGCAGGUUAUGAGAAUCUCUUAUUUAAAAGAAAAAAUAAUUGGAAUUUUAUCUAUAUCAAAAUCUUGAUCUUUUUUUCUAUUUCUCAAUAUCAUGAUUUCUUUUUCGUUAAAAUUCCCACCUAAAAUGUAAAAAUUCUACAAAACUCAAUACGAGUUUUUUUAAAUAUUUUUUUCUUUAUAUACAAUUAUAGUAAUUCCAGUUAUAGUAAGUCCAAUUAAGGUAUGUUCGCUUAAAUGACCAUUCUCUCCAUAUCUGAACAUAUCCUUGAGAACCGCUGCGUCAAAUUAGAAACCGCUCAUAAAGAUAUUUGGACGAAUUUUAAAGAUUGACUGGUCAGAAAUUAAUUCUCUUAACACGCAUACGAAGAGAAAAACGUGAGUUAAGCCUCUGAAUAGAAACGUCUUUUUAGUCAGCAAGAAAUGCUUCGGAAUGAUCGUGAUAUGGCAAAUGUUUGAAAUGACUCCUAACAAGGAAAGGAUUCCGAAUGAAUUGUAUACACAAGCGCACAAACUUAUCGGAUCCAUCGUCUGUGCGCGCAUGCGCGCACACACGUAAACAGUUGGCAGCAGAAAUGCGGCUAUCUUGAUUGGAUGAUGAUGCAAAGGUUUGAAAGGAUAGGCAAGAGGGGAUACGUCGGAUUGGGACCGAAGCAAAGAGGGACAAGAGGACUGACUUGUUGGCUUUUAAUUGCUCGCUUUUACUUUAUUUCCUUUUUGCAACUGGAUGGGGUUCGGCUAGGGGAUCUAGCGGCUUUGAUGGUCACGUAUCGUUAUUAGUGCUGAUAGGUCUUUCGUAUUCGGGACAGUGUGUUCUCAUGCGGAAAUUCUGCGAUAGGAUGGUAAUGAUGAUCAUCGAAUAUUUGGUUAUUAAAAAUAAAAAAAAAUUGUGAUUGUUGAAAAAAUUAAUAAAAAGAUAAAAAGAUAAAAUUAUAAUCAAAAAUUUAAAAAUAAAAAAAAUACAUUUUAGAUUAUUCAUUGGUGUACAGGUUUUGAUGGUAUAUUAAUUUUUCACCCUAUUAAAUUUUGUAUUAUGAUAGAUAAAUGGCCUGAUAAUGUAUAUACAUGUGUGUCAUACAUAUUCAUCCAUAACGAGAUUGGACAUUUCUGAGAAUUCGAAAGAAUGUUUAAAAAAAAGAUUAAAUCUUUGGAAAAUGA